rnacentral:rRNA from 1 species
UACGAAGGGGGCUAGCGUUGCUCGGAAUUACUGGGCGUAAAGCGCACGUAGGCGGCUUUCUAAGUCGGAGGUGAAAUCCUGGAGCUCAACUCCAGAACUGCCUUUGAUACUGGAGAGCUUGAGUCCGGGAGAGGUGAGUGGAACUGCGAGUGUAGAGGUGAAAUUCGUAGAUAUUCGCAAGAACACCAGUGGCGAAGGCGGCUCACUGGCCCGGUACUGACGCUGAGGUGCGAAAGCGUGGGGAGCAAACAGG